CGCGGCCUAUCAGCUUGUUGGUGAGGUAACGGCUCACCAAGGCACCGACGGGUAGCUGGUCUGAGAGGACGAUCAGCCACACUGGAACUGAGAUACGGUCCAGACUCCUACGGGAGGCAGCAGCAGAGAAUCUUGCGCAAUGGGCGAAAGCCUGACGCAGCGACGCCGCGUGCGGGAUGAAGGCCUUCGGGUUGUAAACCGCUUUCAGGAGGGACGAAAAUGACGGUACCUCCAGAAGAAGCCCCGGCCAACUACGUGCCAGCAGCCGCGGUAAUACGUAGGGGGCGAGCGUUGUCCGGAAUCAUUGGGCGUAAAGGGCUCGUAGGCGGCUUGGUAAGUCGGCCGUGAAAACCCAGGGCUCAACCCUGGGACGCCGGUCGAUACUGCCAUGGCUUGGGUCCGGUAGAGGAGAGUGGAAUUCCCGGUGUAGCGGUGAAAUGCGCAGAUAUCGGGAGGAACACCAGUAGCGAAGGCGGCUCUCUGGGCCGGUACCGACGCUGAGGAGCGAAAGCGUGGGGAGCAAACAGGAUUAGAUACCCUGGUAGUCCACGCCGUAAACGUUGGGUACUAGGUGUGGCGGACCGAUUAACGUCUGCCGUGCCGAAGCUAACGCAUUAAGUACCCCGCCUGGGGAGUACGG
rnacentral:rRNA from 1 species